AUGCGGCGUUUGCCCAGCGAGCCGCGCGGUGCCGCCGACGAGGAGUCAUCGUCCUUGAUCUCGCCCUCCUCCCUCUCCUUCGGACCCUCCGAUGCGGGCCGCGUCUCCGUGUCCUCGGCCAUGCCCGCUCGCCGCCGCACGCCCCGUCGGCUGCCCGACACCCGCGCGACCCCGCCCGCUGUCAGAGGCCGUCGCCCUCGCCCGCUGCCGGAGACCCCGGCCCACGGCCGCCGCCCCUCGUCCGUUGCGGGAUACUCGCGAGCGCGCCGCCCGCUCGCCUCGUCCACUGCGUCACAGGGCAACAUCCCUCGGCAGCGCCCCGCUCCCCGUGCUGCCCACCGCGAACCCCGGCCAGUGCGCCCUCCCUUGGCGGCGUCUACGUUUGGGCGAAGUCGAGCCAGCGGGCGUCGUCUGGCUCCCCUCCUCCGGGCGGCCAUGGAGGAGCCAUGCACUGCUAAUGUAGUAUCUCUUGUUUUUGAUAAUUUCGCAUAA
rnacentral:rRNA from 1 species